AACGCGAAGAACCUUACCUACCCUUGACAUGCCAGGAAGCCCGCUGAGAGGUGGGUGUGCCCGAAAGGGAGCCUGGACACAGGUGCUGCAUGGCUGUCGUCAGCUCGUGUCGUGAGAUGUUGGGUUAAGUCCCGCAACGAGCGCAACCCUUGUCACUAGUUGCUACGCAAGGGCACUCUAGUGAGACUGCCGGUGACAAACCGGAGGAAGGUGGGGAUGACGUCAAGUCCUCAUGGCCCUUAUGGGUAGGGCUUCACACGUCAUACAAUGGCGCAUACAAAGGGCUGCCAACCCGCGAGGGGGAGCCAAUCCCAGAAAGUGCGUCGUAGUCCGGAUUGCAGUCUGCAACUCGACUGCAUGAAGUCGGAAUCGCUAGUAAUCGCGGAUCAGCAAUGUCGCGGUGAAUACGUUCCCGGGUCUUGUACACACCG
rnacentral:rRNA from 1 species